GGCGGCAGGGCCGCAGCAGAGAGCCGAGGCUGAGGGGCCAGCGAUGCUCGGCGGGUGGAGCGGCGGCAUGCGGCGGUGUCGGGGCGCGGGGCUGGCGGCGCUGGCCGCGGUGCUGCUCGCGGCUGUGGCCAAAGCCCAGGUGCAGCAGGAGCCAUUCGUAGAGACUACCGAGGGCACCAGCAUCAAUAUCAACUGCUCACAUCCUACCAAACAGCUCGGCGAUUGGAUCCAUUUCUAUCGUCAGCUCCCGGGCCGAGGACCCGAACUCGUCGCACUCACUGCUAGAGGGUCCAAAGAGCUGCCGGACAUUUCAGGAGAGCUGAGGGUGUCGGAGGACGGGCGGAGCAGCGCGCUGUGGCUGCGGCGGCCCCGGCGCGGGGACGCGGCCGUGUAUUACUGCGCGCUGGGCGCACGGGCAGAGGAGCCGGGGCUGCGGCCGGGCACGAACCGCCGCGGGCGGGGCCGGGCGGGGCCGGGGGCGCAGCGCCGGCCGCGGCCAGCACGGGGCGCUGCCGCUCCGCCCGCCGGGCCCGGGCUGGGGGGGAGCUCCCGACACCGGCACCGCAAUCGGCACUGACACCGGAACCGACACCGGAACCGGCAACUGAACUAGCUGUGGGUUGGUGAUUGUUCUGUCUGUCUGUCUGUGCUGACUCACACACCUCUCCAGGUUUGAAAUUCCUUACCUGACACUGAGAGACCCUUUCCUUUCCCAGCAGAGAGGGACUCCUUCUUACCAACAGAACAUUGUAAGAUUUCAUGACGGAUCAAUACUAAUGAAAUCCAUGCAGUUAAUUCCUUCAGAGGGAAACUAUUGUCUCAGUCUGAGACUAAAUUUUGAUUGAGCCAUACCAAAGCUGCAUCAGGUGUUGAGAAAGCGAGGGAUGAACUCUGAAUGUUGGGAGUCAAAG